rnacentral:misc_RNA from 1 species
UUGUGUUACGUUUACAUCGCACAAAUUAUUUGGCUGUACAAAAUUUUCCGUUGAACCUUUAUUUUAUUUUAUUCGGUUUAAAUAAAUUCUCAAUGUCCUGCAGGCCCGUUUCGUGUAAAAUGGAGUCAAAAAAAUCAAGAACGAAACCGCAUUCGGGGGUUUACAUAGUUAAGAGUCGUGAGCUCAGGGGAGGGAUAUUGUACACGGACUGCCAUUGUCUGAGGAGGAAUGGAUUGCAGUACGAUUGUCGGCGGACAUGCUGCCAGAAUUCCAGCUGCUGCGAGGUGCUACCGGCGCCGCUGUGUGUCCCCGCCAACGUGGCCUGCGCAAAGCACUGCCUGAACCCUCAUGCAGAAGCACUGACUGCUAUCUGCAGAAUGCGUACCUGUUAACUGCAAAAUAAUGUAAUGUCAAGAAAAAGUGCAAAACUCAAAAAUGUUCCACCAACACUCGAAUGAUAAUGAAUAGCUUGCUUCUAGCAGGAAUACUGGCAUGACUAUUUCAAAUUCGGAACCCGAAAAAAAUUAAACCUGAUCAAAUAUGUUUAAUUGACAGAAUACCAAAUUUCUUUGAAACCCUUUGGACGUAUUUGUAAAAAUUGUAAAAAAAUAUUAAAAUUCUAAAUUAUUUGUGAAAAAAUUAAUAUUAUUUAGACUGUCUUUUAAAAUUCCUAAAUUUUAGUUAAAUUGUAUUAUCUAAAAGCCCCUCCUUCGCACAUUUCAUCAAAUUAACGCAUUUAUUCAAAUACAAAAAUGUGUUCCCCGUGUGGUCCCAUGGUAUGCUACAAAUAUGAAGAUUGCGGUCCCGCAUUGCAAUGUCUCCCGAGAUCCGCGUUCAAGCGGAAUGGUCUGCAAGAUUGCCAGUUCUUUCAGCAGGGAUCCAUCCGGUACUUGUGCCGGGCGGGUCCAUGCUGCUCUAGGCCGUGCCCGCCGUGCUGUCCGCCGUGCGUCCGCAGGCCACCUCCCGGGAAGACCUAUGUGACGCGCUUCAGUGACUUUGAUCUGAUUUCACAGUGGUAGCAAGAUUGAUGCCGUCCUUCCGAACACUCGAAAGGCAAAGGCCAAGAAGGUCAAGCUUCGCGUGCGGAGGAAGGCGGCGCA